UAAUCGGAUUUACUGGGCGUAAAGCGUACGUAGGUGGUCUUUUAAGUCGGAUGUGAAAUCCCUGAGCUUAACUUAGGAAUUGCAUUCGAUACUGGGAGACUAGAGUAUGGGAGAGGAUGGUAGAAUUCCAGGUGUAGCGGUGAAAUGCGUAGAGAUCUGGAGGAAUACCGAUGGCGAAGGCAGCCAUCUGGCCUAAUACUGACACUGAGGUACGAAAGCAUGGGGAGCAAACAGGAUUAGAUACCCUAG
rnacentral:rRNA from 1 species